AGGGAGGCAUUUUUGAAGAUGAUUUCACAUAAAUCCCAAACGUUGAUGGAUUUCUUGCCUUCCUCCAGGGAUAAUCCACUUCUGACUACUUUCCUCUUCUGGGUGAAUAUGUACCAUGACGAUUAUGUUUUGGAUACUCAGUGGCGCAAUCAUGCUCCCAGUGCACCCCUAUCAGAUCUCAUCAAAAGAGUCUGUAAUAGCUGCACCAGGAGAUGAUGCUAUUCUCCCCUGUACGUUCACUGCAGUUGACAGCCAGAAUAUUACCAACCUAAUCAUUAACUGGCAGCAUCAAGACAAGGUGGUCCACAGCUUCUACCUUGGUAAAGAUCAGCUAGAGAGGCAGGGACAGGCUUACAGGGAGCGGACUCACCUGUUUAUGAAGGAGGUGCUGAAGGGAAACGCAUCACUCGCACUGAAGGAUGUCCGGCCGCACCAUGAUGGAGAAUACACCUGCGAUGUCACCCAUGAACGUGGAGCAACUAAACACAAUGUGCAGCUGACUGUAGCAGCUCCAUAUGAGGACCCAAAAUGGGUGAUUCACUACAACUGUGAUGUCAUACUGUUUACACUUUCCGCAUCCCAUGGAUUUCCUGAGGCCACUGUCUCUUGGAAGUCUCCUAUCGGGACAAGCAUCACAACCAUGGAGCUUGACACCAACACCUACACCUACAGUGUGAAAAGCAACCUGACGCUCAGCCUGAACAGCACACAGACUGUAGCUGUUGAGAUGAAGUUGAAAGCAUUGGCUCAGUAUUUUAUUAAAGAAGUAACACUUCACCCUCAGACUGGAUGCUGUGUAAGUAAUGGUGCUCAUAAAAAUAGGCCCUGUCUUUUGAUCAGUUUUCCUACAAUUCCUACAGUGUUCUUAGCUACAUUUUUUGGGCUUUUGUUUGCAACACAUUAAUGGCAAGCAAAGCAUGGCUAAAACAAUACAUUUCAGUUUAGAUUUAUUAUUAUUUUUACAAUGGAAGUUGUCACAAAGCAGCCUUACAGGUUCCUGGUCUGAGCAUCUUUUGACUAAAGCCGGUGUUGACAGUAGCAAGAAGGAUCACAAAAAAAGGCUAAACUGCACCCUCCUCUCAGAGUUGAUUAUGUAUAAUCAGCUUUGAAUGGGUAAUUGUUCUGCUGCACCUUCAGACCGCCUCCACAGCCAUGGAUCCGCCUGCAAGUGCAAGUCAUGUACCUGAUCAGACUGUCCAAUCGUCCAAUUUUUUCUCUCAUCUAACAUUUCUAACAUUUAUUAUCUGGUAUUAUUGGUUAAAUCUGAGUGAUGAUUAGUACUACUGUGCAUCCAUUAGUUAUUCAAAGUUUUCAUGCUUUUGUUGUUAUUUGUUUAGCUCACUUGGAGCUAGGGCAUAAAGCUGCUUUGUGAUGUCUGCUGUAAAAAUUCUACCUAAAUAAACUUAAACUGUCGUUUAAAUAAUUAAAAAUAAAACUUUUUUUCUGGAA